AACGAACGCUGGCGGCAGGCUUAACACAUGCAAGUCGAGCGCAUCCUUCGGGGUGAGCGGCAGACGGGUGAGUAACACGUGGGAAUCUACCCAACCCUACGGAAUAGCUCCGGGAAACUGGAAUUAAUACCGUAUACGCCCUUAGGGGGAAAGAUUUAUCGGGGAUGGAUGAGCCCGCGUUGGAUUAGUUAGUUGGUGGGGUAAAGGCCUACCAAGGCGACGAUCCAUAGCUGGUCUGAGAGGAUGAUCAGCCACAUUGGGACUGAGACACGGCCCAAACUCCUACGGGAGGCAGCAGUGGGGAAUAUUGGACAAUGGGCGCAAGCCUGAUCCAGCCAUGCCGCGUGAGUGAUGAAGGCCUUAGGGUUGUAAAGCUCUUUCACCGGAGAAGAUAAUGACGGUAUCCGGAGAAGAAGCCCCGGCUAACUUCGUGCCAGCCGCCGCGGUAAAAC
rnacentral:rRNA from 1 species